UACGGAGGGUGCAAGCGUUGUUCGGAAUCAUUGGGCGUAAAGCGCGUGUAGGCGGCUUGGCAAGUCAGUUGUGAAAGCCCGGGGCCCAAACCCCGGAACUGCAUCUGAAACUGCUUUGCUCGAGUAUGGGAGAGGGAAGUGGAAUUUCCGGUGUAGCGGUGAAAUGCGUAGAUAUCGGAAGGAACAUCAGUGGCGAAGGCGACUUCCUGGACCAAUACUGACGCUCAGGUGCGAAAGCGUGGGGAGCAAACAGGG
rnacentral:rRNA from 1 species